GAAUUAUUUACAUGGAAGAAAAAAACAUGUUAUAUUGUGUUUCGUAGAACAAUAUUUUACUGAGUACAUGCAGUACGUCAGGAGCCUCAUUUGCUUCUUUCUUCUCUAAUUCAUCAGUUUGUGUUUCUAGGCCGUGCAUGCUCUUUCUGCCUCAUUUACAAACACUCUUAAAUCGACUUCUUUCAAUUGGUUUUUUUUACCGUCUUUCCUUGCCUUUCUCCUUUAAAGAAUCAUACCAGGAUAGAUCCAAGUCUGUUGUUUUUGCCCAAUGGAUGUCUAUCUAGAAACACCCAAUGAUUUGGAACUUAG